CGGGGACCGGGGACUGCCCCGUGUCGUCCCGUCCCGUCCCCCCCCCCAGCUUUGCCGGGGGCUUUUCGCCCUUGCCGGGGGGCUGCCCGGGGUCACUCGCCCCACGCCGUCUGGGUGCGGGCACGGUGCAGGGGCUGCCCGGCACCCUGCGGGGCCGCGACCCGCGACGUCCCCUGCCCCUUGGCUUUGCCUUGGCCGCCCUAGUGGGGGGGGGGGAGGAACGGGGACAGGGACGGGAACGGGACCCGUUCAUCCCGCAGCCGCUUCAACUCCUCCUCGUGGUUUUCCCACUCGCUUCCGAACCCGACGCGUGUUUCCCAGCCGGCAGCUGAGCUCCUGUUCGGUUUUGCAAGCGGAACUUUUCCCCACCGCCAGCAGAGACGCGAAAAUCCCCGACCCGGGUCCGAAAAAAACCCCGGGCCGGUUGCCCUGCUGCUCCCUCCCUCUGGUGCCAGCCCGGGCUGCGGGACGGAGCCCCCCGGCACCACCGUUUUGUCUCCCUUCGGUCUUUCUGCCUGGCCGGCCUUUGGUACCCCUCGCCCCCUCUGUUGCCGAAGUUCAGACCUGGUUACUCCAGCCCCUGUCUCUGAAGUUCAAAUGUACAUGUGAGUCCCCUCCGCUGAGUGACAGCUGCAAUGGAAACGUCGCGUUCGCUCCUGGUUUGCAUUUAAUUACAGCGGAGGUGCAAUAUGUUUAUGGCAGAAGAAAAGCUACUUGUCUUUACGCUUGUUAGGGAUAUUCAUUUGUCCACGAUAAACCGCGUUUUAAAAGGUAUUUAUGGCGUAUGAAAUGUUCCCCUUGCCAGCCGGCUCGCAGGUCGGUGCGGGGGAUUUCUGCUGCUGUUUCCCCGGGCUCCUUUUGCCUUUUCCUCACACCCUCGGCGGAGGGGACGAGGGUAACCCGCGGAGCCUCUGCUCCCGGGGCCGUUGCCGAAGCCCCCGCAGCCCCUGCCCGCUCUGCCCCACUGCGAAAUCUGCCGUAAGGAGCGGGCACCCACUGGGGACCAUUUCUCCUCCCGCGCCGACCUGGCGCUGCAGGGCCCAGACCUGGCGCUCUUCCCUCCGGCGAGGCUCCCCGAGCCGUGCCCG
rnacentral:lncRNA from 1 species